GGCCACCUUGCCUAAGUUUGGGAUGAUCAUUUAGCCUGAAUGAGGAGGCUCAGUGCUCUAAGGAUGGCAUUUUUUCUACCUGGCUCCAUUUUAUUUUGUCAUGUGGCUUGAUGGGCAUGGACAGUGGGGAAGAUCCUGCCUCGGUGGGUGAAUGAAAGGUGUUGUGGUUUUUAAGCAGAGGAAAAUCUUCCUUCGUUUUUUCUGGAAUAGCAGCAAAGCCAUGAUGGAGAAUAAGCAGAAGAUUAAUUUAAAAUACUGGUUACUUUGGCUAAUCCACUGACGGGACUGUUGGUUGAUAUCUGGCACAGACAGAUAGGAAGUGAAGAAUGUGGCACAUCCUUAGACUGCCCGUUGGUGAGAUCUGAAACUAAGUUUCUCAUGACUGGACUGUAUUUCUUUAGCUGCUGGGUGUGAAAAGCCCCAGACAUUGGCUUCUGCUUCUUUCACCAUCAUUAUGAUUUGUGGGCAUUGAUGCUAGGCCUGGAAUCCCUGCAGCAUUCAUCUCUGCUGGGGUUCUCUAAUACAGCGGCUGAGAACGGUGCUAAUUCCAGCUGCCAGCAUGAUCCUCCUUCCCUGGCAAGAGGGAGCCCCGCUCAGAGAACAUUUAAAUACCGUAGAACCAUCCCUGUUACAGGUUUCCUUUGGGAUGCUCUUGACGCAGGAAAUAUGGCUUAUUCUCAUAAAUACUUUGAGAUGUACUUCAGUUUCUCCAAACUUUAUGCAUAACAACACGACUGUAACAACAAAAAGGGAAAUUCUUGAAAGAAAAAAUAUUAGCAGUAAUCU
rnacentral:lncRNA from 1 species